rnacentral:rRNA from 1 species
UACGGAGGGGGCUAGCGUUGUUCGGAAUUACUGGGCGUAAAGCGCGCGUAGGCGGACCUGCAAGUCGGGGGUGAAAGCCCGAGGCUCAACCUCGGAACUGCCUUCGAUACUGCGGGUCUCGAGUCCGGGAGAGGUCGGCGGAACUGCGAGUGUAGAGGUGAAAUUCGUAGAUAUUCGCAAGAACACCAGUGGCGAAGGCGGCCGACUGGUCCGGUUCUGACGCUGAGGCGCGAAAGCGUGGGGAGCAAACAGG